rnacentral:rRNA from 1 species
CCUAGUAACGGCGAGUGAAGCGGCAACAGCUCAAAUUUGAAAUCUGGCGUCUUUGGCGUCCGAGUUGUAAUUUGCAGAGGGCGCUUUGGCAUCGGCGGCGGUCCAAGUUCCUUGGAACAGGACGUCACAGAGGGUGAGAAUCCCGUACGUGAUCGCUAGCCUUUACCGUGUAAAGCCCCUUCGACGAGUCGAGUUGUUUGGGAAUGCAGCUCUAAAUGGGAGGUAAAUUUCUUCUAAAGCUAAAUACUGGCCAGAGACCGAUAGCGCACAAGUAGAGUGAUCGAAAGAUGAAAAGCACUUUGGAAAGAGAGUUAAAAAGCACGUGAAAUUGUUGAAAGGGAAGCGCUUGCAGCCAGACUUGCCUGUAGUUGCUCAUCCGGGUUUUUACCCGGUGCACUCUUCUAUAGGCAGGCCAGCAUCAGUUUGGGCGGUUGGAUAAAGGUCUCUGUCAUGUACCUCUCUUCGGGGAGAACUUAUAGGGGAGACGACAUGCAACCAGCCUGGACUGAGGUCCGCGCAUCUGCUAGGAUGCUGGCGUAAUGGCUGUAAGCGGCCCGUCUUGAAACACGGACCAAGGAGUCUAACAUCUAUGCGAGUGUUUGGGUGUCAAGCCCGAACGCGUAAUGAAAGUGAACGGAGGUGGGAACCUUUCGGGGUGCACCAUCGACCGAUCCUGAUGUCUUCGGAUGGAUUUGAGUAAGAGCAUAGCUGUUGGGACCCGAAAGAUGGUGAACUAUGCUUGAAUAGGGUGAAGCCAGAGGAAACUCUGGUGGAGGCUCGCAGCGGUUCUGACGUGCAAAUCGAUCGUCAAAUU